UUGCUUUGGCAGCAAAUAUACUAAAAUUGGAACAAUAUAGAGAAGAUUAGCAUGGACCCUGUGCAAAGAUGACACACAAAUUCAUAAAGCCUUCAUGUAUUU